UGGGGAAUAUUGCACAAUGGAGGGAACUCUGAUGCAGCGACGCCGCGUGAGUGAUGAAGGAAUUCGUUUCGUAAAACUCUGUUCUAUGGGAAGAAAAGGACUGUACCAUAGGAGAAAGCUCCGGCUAAAUACGUGCCAGCAGCCGCGGUAAUACGUAUGGAGCGAGCGUUGUCCGGAAUUAUUGGGCGUAAAGGGUGCGCAGGCGGCUUUACAAGUUGGAUGUGAAAUAUUGUGGCUCAACCACAAACGUGCAUCCAAAACUGCAAAGCUUGAGUUAAGGAGAGGUAAGUGGAAUUCCUGGUGUAGCGGUGGAAUGCGUAGAUAUCAGGAGGAAUACCGGUGGCGAAGGCGACUUACUGGACUUAAGCUGACGCGCAGGCACGAAAGCGUGGGGAGCAAACAGG
rnacentral:rRNA from 1 species